rnacentral:lncRNA from 1 species
AAUUUAUUCUGUGCAGUUUAAAAUAAAAGUUAAAACAUCAUACAAACCACAGAAGCUUUAGAUAUAGUACUGACCAAUUUUUAAACAAAAACCACUGAGAUUAUUUACGCACAUUCCUCAUCUUUAGGGUUACAUCUUAUUGUUUGUACAAAGGUAUUGUUAACACACACAGUCUAAUUCCUCAUAUGCUUAUUUGUCGAGCAGCAAGAUGACAAUGCAUCAUAGCACAAGAGGUUUCCUUUAAGAAACCACAGCAGCAGUAUUUGGUGAAUGUUAUGCAUAGAACUGACCCAGAGGUAAUGUGAACAUUCCUCAUCAGAGGGGUAGCAAGGGACACUAACAAAUGGAAAAUGUAACUUUUUAAUAUAAAAUGUUACUCUUUAUGCUUUAAAUGUAAAACUCUGAGACACUUUAGAAGCAGACAACACAAGGUGCUUUAACUCCAGACUCCAAAACCGAACACUAUUCUAUUAGUCGCUAAGAGUCCAGGACCUUUGCGGACUGCUCAUUGGCUUUUUAAAGUCAACUUCAAAUAUAUAAGCAUUUAGUCUACCAGUCAAAAUCUAAGCUACAUUGAUUACAUGUUACAUUAAAACGUUAUCUACUGAGAAAGACUGAAUUUUAAAAAGAUUACGUUGUUGACUUCAAAACUGUUAUUCUUAAAAGAAUGCACUACUUUCAAUCUUUCAACUUCUUAAGAUGCCAUGUUGUGUGAAUCCAUAACUUUAUAUCUUUCCAUCUUUCAACAAAAUAUUUUGAAAUGGUUCUUAAACCUAAUAACAUCUAAAGAAAUGGGUCGGCAUGUCUGUGAAAUGGCUGUUCAACACAUAACAAUGCUUCCCCUAAUGAAAAUCCAGUGAGUGCAUUCUAUAUUUAACUUGACAUAAAUAUUUCAAACCCAUUUUAACAGUGCUAUACAAAUAUUUAGUGUUUUUUGGCAUUUAAAUCUGAAAGACGCUACCACACAGGCAAUUUUCACCAAAAAAAAAAAAAAAAAGUUCAAAAGCAAAAGACUGAUCUGGAAAUAGUUAGCUAAGAAGGAAAUGAAACCAAUCUACCUGAGUCCUUGAAUUUAGAAUCAAUCCUCAAAAAGAUGGCAUACUCCAGAACUAUCAUUUUGGAGGAGGGUUCAGGUAAAAGUCUACUAUUUGUAUGUGUUUUUAAUGCUCAUAACCUUGAAAUUAACCACAGGAUAGUCCACUUCCCACUGAAUGACUCAUUUUCAGUGAGACUAAAAAUGCAGCUGGGAUGCAGUUCUGGUUAAAAUUCAGCUACAAAAACAAUAAAACAAAACAGGAAAAGAACAGAAACACCAUACCACAUAAAUAAUUCUGCAUUAAUAACUAUUUCUCUUCCGUCUCUUAGUGGUCUUAGAAAUAUGCACUAUAUUAUGUGGGGUGCAUGAAAAGAAAGUUUUAAAUAAAGGAUUAGCCUGCAGAUUCUUCAUUAUUGGCAUCAGUAAUUUCUCUUCACUCUCCUCCAGUGAGUUAUAGCAUGGCAAGUAUGAUCUAUUAUAUGCUCUUAGGUAUAUUUCUCAAGUAAGUUAAGCAGAACAUUUCUUAAAAUGCUAUAAAACAAGGGAAGCUUGAAGUAUUAGUGCCAAUAAAUAAUGCCCAACAUAUAUAGCUUUACACGGAUUACAUUCCAUUAAUUUGCAGGUGACUACAGAUUUGGGGGUAGGACUGCAUCAGCUAUCAUUCUUUAAUACUGACACAAAAGGACACUCAUCAGCUACUUAAGUUUUUCAGUAAUUAUUAACUAAACCUUAUAUAGCCACCAUAAAACACAAACAUGAAGAAAGCCAGCAUUCAGCAUUCUAAAAUAAAAAAGUCUAAUUUGAUAUCCUUCCAGCACCAAGAUGCUUUCAGGCAUUCAUUUUUCUUUCUAACUGAUGACCAUGUGAAUGUGAUGUUUAGCUGAUACAUGAAACAUUAAAAUUAACGCUAGAAACUGUGUCACUGCUCUUUUAUGCCCUAGUCAUACAGCAUCCAAUAAGGAAACGAAGACAGAAUGACUGUGCUCCUCUCGCAGAUGCUCCUCUAGCAUCUGCGAGCACACACACAGUUCUGCUCUGUAAAUUCCCUUUUAAUAUGUCCAAAGGUCUACAGUAUCAGCAAAGAUGUGCUCAUCAGGAACACAACAUAGUGCAGAGCUAGUCGACUGUGAGGAGACAAACAAAACUGAAUGAGCACAAAGAAUGAGGUAUCAAACAUAAUUACAAACCUCCAUAAAUUGGAGGUGAUGACUAAUUCUGAGAAACAAAGGUGAAAAACAGAAGAACUCAGAUUAAUAAAACAAACUGGCUUUGCAUUUCAUUCUUAUACAAAGCAGGGAACACUGAACAGUAAGGUUUGUGAAUCCAUACCUCUCUUCCCCAGUAAACACUCAGUCCAAAGUUCAGUGAAGACAAACAUGGAUACCUGGCAAGAGUUGUUUUACAGUUACGCAGGUAUUUCCACCCGCUAUAUUUUCAACACCCAGUACCUCUGAGGUCUUGUCACUGGAUUAUUGUGAAAAAGUAGUUUCUCCACAACACAUGACUUAAGCAUAAAGUCCUCCCAUACAAAGGGAGUGACUAACCCUACUCUUCCUAGAGAAUAGUUCUUCCUAUUCCUAACUACUCUAAAAUCUUGAAUAGAUUACCCAAAAAAUGUAUUUCAUAGAAGAUAACUAUUUAACAUGAGUCAGUAUUAAGUAUUCCAAUAAAUAGAUACCAUCUUGAAAAGAAAAAUAAAUUUAUAAUGACGAGACCAUUUUUAUUUAAUCAGAUACCAUCAGUUAAGAUGCACUGUAUUAUUACAAAGAAAAACACUACCCUUGAAACUACAACCUGAUGCCUUAUAGCAUAGAAAAUAUUUUAUAUUUAUUAAAACAGUGCUCUUAAAAGAUUUUCGUCAUACCAAUCUUGUGUGUAUGUAAAGAAUGUGGGAAAUAAACUGGUCAAGUUAUAACUAUAACUUCAUAUUCUGAACCCAGCUCUUCUAAAUCACUUCUCACGUCACCGUCCUCGCUGUCUGCAUUUGCCCACAUGACUUGGCCCUUGGCAUCUUCAAGAGGACUGGCGAUGCAGCAUUUCUUGAAAGAAUGCUCCACCACUGUCUUCUGUUUAAUGUCAGUGGGAAGUUUUGGACAAAACAAUGUCUGAUGUCUUAAUGACAGUCCAGCUCGACGCAUGAAUCGGUCACACCAGCCUCUUGUUGCUUUAAAUUUUGUUUCAUCAAUUCCGAGGGUUUUGGCAAUUUCCCCUGCCUUUGACUGCAUUACUUGGCGUGUGAUAGGCAAUCCUUUAGCACAUGCCUCACUGACAAAAUGUAGUACAGCUUCAUCUACUUGUGGGUAUCUUCCUUUCUUAGGUCCCGUAAAACAUUUUGUGGUUGCUUUGCAAGAAAAUAUGGAAUUUCGGUCAUUCCUCCAACGGCGAAUAUUUGCUUCGCUAAUAUCAAAUGUUCGCCCCGCUGCUCUGUUUCCAUGCUUUUCCGCAUAUACAAUAACCCUGCGUUUCAAUGCUGAGUCAUAGUGUAAUCUUUUUGAAGACAUUUUAAAAUGCCAAUUAAACCUGAAACAUUUGAUACCAAUAAUACAUGUCAGUUAAGGGGAUGCCACUAUAAGCUAUAAAUUCACACAUGUACAAGCUAGGAUAAUUAUGUGACUAUCCUGGCUGACAGUAAUGAGAUGCAUCCCAAUUUCAGACAAGUUAAAACAUGAAGAAUACAUUUUGAAUAUUAAAAUAUGCUUUUCAAGCUUGAAAUGUUUAUGAGAUUCACACCAGUGCAAACAAACGAACAAAAAAAUCCCAAGAGCCAAGGAAUAAGUGUGCUGAGCAGAAAGCUAGCGAAACAAAAUAUUAUCUUUAAGAUGAAAUUUGCAAAGGUCCAAUUUGGUUUUAAUUCCCUUUAUUACUAUAUGGCUUACAUGUAAAUUUUUUGAACUGGAUAUGAAAUCCAAGUAUAAAUGUUCUUCAGUCAUUUAGUAUAUUUCAAAGCCAAGUCACUAAGACAGAGGCUCACAAUUGCCUUUCAUUGUUUACUAAUAAAGGACCCUGUCUGGGAUCAAUGGCCUUCAUCAGUAGGUGCCCUCCUUUGGCGUGCAGAUCUGAUUCUGUGUGGAGAGGAUGAAGGGUCUUCUUCAGUUUCAGACCCUGAAGGCUCAUGAUCUCCCUCCUGGGAUCCUGUGUCUCCCACUAGUUCCCGUAGAAACUUGAAUUUAGAUAAAAACAGAUGCCACACAAAAUACCAACCGCACACCAUCAGCAGCAGGACGAUCAGCAGCGUCGCCACGAACACCAGCAGCGUCAGCCCGACGUUGUGCCACAUCUUGGGCGGAGGGUAGUCGCCUCAAGGCGGCGGGCGCGGCGGCGGCAGCGGACAGGCGCGAGCGGGCUUCAGUGGCGGGCGCCGGGCGCGGCGAAGCGCCGGGGCGGCAUGGGCGGCGUGCGCCCCUC